GACAGAACUGGCUGGCUUGACUUCUCAGGGGUCACCUUAAAGGAUCGAGGUGCUGAUGCUCUGGAAGUCUUGGAUGAAUUCCUGCAAUCCAAUCCCGAAUCCCUGAUCCCACACCUGUGGCCCGUGCUGCAUCCAUGUCUCUAGGUAAGCCAAAAAAUCUCUGUUGUCAUCCCAAAACCUUGG
rnacentral:lncRNA from 12 species